rnacentral:rRNA from 1 species
CGGGUGAGUAACGCGUGGGUAACCUGCCUCACACAGGGGGAUAACAGUUGGAAACGGCUGCUAAUACCGCAUAAGCGCACAGUACCGCAUGGUACAGUGUGAAAAACUCCGGUGGUGUGAGAUGGACCCGCGUCUGAUUAGCUAGUUGGCAGGGUAACGGCCUACCAAGGCGACGAUCAGUAGCCGACCUGAGAGGGUGACCGGCCACAUUGGGACUGAGACACGGCCCAA